ensembl:lncRNA
AAGAGCUAUGGACGAAUGGACUCCACUCUAACCUCACCUAAACUGUGCCGGGCUACCUUUUUGUAUUUUUACAUGAGAAUCAGGAAAAGAUACUGUGGUGGCGGGUUGUGGUUAGCUCAUCUGCAGAGGGGAGAGUGGGGGAGUGGUUCAGAGAACAGUGCCGGCAGGAGACCACACCAGAGGUAAUAUUGCUGCUGUGUCCACUGGAACUGCUCUCCAUCGCCGCCCGCUCUUCUCUCAUCAGCGGGAUUAUAAAUCAUUCCUUCAGCUUCACUCCUACUUUGGCUUAGCUGAUGAGAAACUUUGACGCAUUGACUUUACUUCUUCUCGAGAAGCACGUUAUUCUGUAAUUGGAUGUUGGUUAAGCAUUAGAGCAAGAAAAAUGUAUCUGUUUUUAUAUUUCUUCAAUUGAAGCUUGUAUUAUAAGAGAAAUAAAUUGCUUUUAUAAUUAUUAAUGGACUGUGUAUUUUCAAGAUCACUGUGGCCAACAGAUUAUGCAAAACGAAGAAUAUCCUCAGUGAACCUCGUCAAUGAAACUGACAUGGCAUUUCAUUUUCUCAUUUAAAUC